AUUGAACGCUGGCGGCAGGCCUAACACAUGCAAGUCGAACGAGUGGCGGACGGGUGAGUAAUGUCUGGGAAACUGCCCGAUGGAGGGGGAUAACUACUGGAAACGGUAGCUAAUACCGCAUACCAUCGGAUGUGCCCAGAUGGGAUUAGCUUGUAGGUGAGGUAACGGCUCACCUAGGCGACGAUCCCUAGCUGGUCUGAGAGGAUGACCAGCGCCACUGGAACUGAUACACGGUGCAGACGCCUACGGGGGGUAGCAGUGGGGAAUAUUGCAAAAUGGGCGCAAGCAUGAGGGAGCCAUGCCGCGUGUAUUAAGAAGGCCUUUGGGUUGUAAAGUACUUUCAGCGGGGAGGCGUGACCAGAAGAAGAAGCACCGGCUAACUCCGUGCCAGCCGCCGCGGUAAUAC
rnacentral:rRNA from 1 species